CACAAAACCUCUUAAAAACUUCUUGAAAUGGCUACAAACGGCUAUAGACGUCUUGGUCUAUGAUAAGACUGAAAAUAGAAUUUCUUCUAAACAUAACCUCAGCACUUGGAAUAUGCUAGCAUAUAUUCUAUCUGCGGCAAAACCCACUACGGGUGUCACUAGAGUCUGUUUUGGUAAACGCAUUCAGAAUGUCUAACUCAAGAACUUUUCUAGAUCUUUUUGUCUAAAAGUGCAUAAAAUGCCAAACGACGAGUUAAAUGUGCGGUUACCGUCGGCCGUCGACGUUAGCGAAUAAAAGACGCCUCAGUCAAAUCGAACUCGUUCGAAGCAACAUAAGUUAAUUGGCUUUAAUAUUAAAUAAUUUCACACCAGAACUUCAACAAUCAAGGGCGUGUUAUUGUUUUCCAUACAGGGCGCGCACACGACGCCUGGAAACCAUUCUAUGCUCGCGCAGCAGCAGGAGCGAAAUGCCGGUGUUGCACAGCGGUGUCCCAGAGCCACCGCGCUGCGACCACUUCGGCGGCACAAUCCAAAUUUGUCGAACAUCUCAUUCUGUGCUGGAAACACUGGGAGGCAGGAAGUUUGAAAAAAACGGCCACUCCCGCCCGCAAUGUCUCGGUCGUGGGUUCGUUAUGCCAGUUGUUCAAGCCGUUCUGUACAUUUAUACUGGAUAUUAGCUGGAGUCAUUUAGCUGUGCUGAUGCUGUUUGCCGUGUGUUUUGCAUCAGUGCUUCGUGACAUCGGCUGUAUUGCGUGUUUUCGCCGACGGCUUACUACCACAAUGGCGGGAUCUGCGUUCGCCGCCUUCGUGUCUCGGUGCGUCUUUGUACGUCGCACGUUCGGAUAACACUUUUUCCGACGGCUGGAAAUCCUUCUUGUACCUUGGCGCUAGCUGGAUGACGGGACUUCAUCAUGAUCAGUGUAUUGCUUUCCUAUGUCUACAAGAACCGUCACGGGUGGCCUGUGACGGCAAGCUUUUGGGGGCAGCCAGUGCUCUCCUACGAAGGCUGGCCUACUCUGGCAGCGGCGGCAAUCAUCUUCAAGAUUUAUCGAUGAUCACCUUUGCUGCUAUUUGUCACUCUUCUUAAUUACACUUUCUGCAUCUUUUCUAAUCUAUUAGGUAAUAAAGUAUGAGUAUGUGA